rnacentral:lncRNA from 1 species
CAUCCUUCAAAUAGAAGUCUCCCCAAAGACCCCUUUAAGAAAUCUCGAGUUUUGCCACUUUGUUUGUCCUGUAUAAUAAUUUCUUAUUAAGCAUAAUCGAAGCAUGUUUGACUUAUAACCUGAUGGGAUUUUGAUGAAGACAUGUUCGACAAUAAUUGUCCUUUGUUCCUAGUAACUUGACAGCAUUCCAUGUCUUGAUGAUGCAGCACCAUAGAAGCACCAGCAAAAAGAUUUUUUUGUUAUUGAUAACAGCGACAGUUGGUUUGACCACCCUUUUCGAGGAAUCAAGAAGAAUCCCAGAGUCUCAUUGUUUUGUCAUCCAUUCCACCCAGAUCUUAUGCAAGCCAACUCGAAAACGUUGCUACUUGUUCAAAAACUUGAAUACGAACUGACCCAACAUCUCAAAGGUCCCAGAGAAGAGCGGCCAACCAGCCAAGAGCAAGGACAGUUGCGCCAUUUCAUGCAAUUCCUGAGUAUGAGAUACCAAACCGUUUGGUCAAUAACAACAGAGCAUUGUAAAGCAACCCAAACAAAAGCACAAACUUUUCUUAUCGGGCAAAAAUAUUCAUGAACUUAUAACCUUAAACAAAAAUAACAUCAUUUUUCUAAAGACCCCAGAAACAGCAUUAAGUUUUGCUUGAGAGGUAUAUAUAUGCGUCCGUUAAAGAAGUUUAUUUGGCAUUCUAAUAGCAAUGACGUGACAUGUUAGCCGAGCCAAAAUGACACUGUUUUGUGUUUGUCAUAAUGGAUGAUAUGCUCAAUUCACUUCGCAAUUGACCAGGGACAUAACUCCGUAUCCUAUUCUAUCAAGAGUACGUAAGUUUGACCCAACACGAAAAAUUUCGCGAACUGGACUUGAGUAAAACCAUUUCAGAACUUGAUCCGGUUUGGGUGAAGCAAUGUUAGUAGCAUUACAUCUUUUGAAGAGAUGUAUUUGCGGUGCCUUGUUUCGAGAUCCCAGCAAACCGAAUCAACAAAGAGAUGUAUUUGCCUUCAAUCUAUCUAAAUCAAAUAUCUUAAUCAGAAUAAAGAGAAAUGUGGCACAUGGUAUACCAAUACGCUAUCAUGCAAAAUCAAAUUCCAUGCAUAUAUACAUGAUUGUGCAAACAUGAUACUAUCUCGACUGCUCGAUUGGAAUAAAUUUAAUCGGCACUGAGUGAGAGAUGCAUCAAAUGGUGGAACUCCCAAAAAAUCGACAUUAUGACACAAGAGACAACAUCAUUUGUUUGCCUAGAAAUCACAAUGUUAAAUACACACAAGAUGAAAGCAUCUCCCACCAAAAAAAUAGUAGAGAACUCAAACAAGGCUGGUUAAUCAAAGACGUGCUCUUUUGGAACAACAAACCCAAAAAGCUGAAUCCGAACUCUCUCAAAUGCAAAUCGAUUAGGGUCCAUAGCUCAAUUAAUAACCAUGCAAAUCGCACUAGAAUUCUCUCAGAUUGACCAAUAACAGAAGCAAAUCGAUGAGGAGAAGAAAAUGAGGUGUUCAUUUUAAAAAUUAUCGUAGACGAAUCGAUGAAAACAGGCAAUAGAAGAGGGAUACGUUGCCAGAGACAUCACUGGUCGAGAUUGAUGAUCGCCUGAAGGAGAGAGAUCAUAAUGGACGGUAACGCCGGGACCUAGAACCGUCAAAGGGAGGAAUAGACCUAGAUUGUGUACUUCGGCAGCGAUGAAUCUGAAAUAGGGGCGAACAUAGCCUCUUCACAGCCACAGAACUAGAGGCGAUCGGGCAGCUCCCAAUAGUUGUAAUUGACGCGACUGAGAGGAAAUAAAGAUGGAGAAUCCUCCGGAAACCGAUUCUCUGAGAGAGAAUUUUCUCCCUGAGCUCCCCUUGUGCCCCUGCUUUGUUCUUAGCGGAUGAGCUCUCUGCGAUGACUGCGUGUGUCGACGGCCCGGCGAUGGAAGAUCGGCGAUGGCUAGCGGUGGCCUCAGGGCGAUGGAGAGGGGAUCGCCAUGAGAAGCUGCGUAAGCCCG